UAAAAAUUUUUUUUUUUUCAACCAUUGCUCUCAAAAACACUUAUCAAAAGAGGCUAAGUUUCGAAAACCCGAUUUGAGAAUUCAAAGUGUAAACAAUUUAAACCAAGAUUCACGAGUGCAAUGACGGUCAAUUUCAAGUUAUGGUUUUCGCUUGCUAAGUCUUGUUGUCUAGGGCUCUCACAAUAGUCAGACCAAGUUUCAAAAGCAAAGUUAUCCUCUCUAGAUAUCCUAUAAAUUCUAAAUCAUGUUUAAAGACACAAUUAAGUCCCAGAGUAAUCCCAAAUGCAGCUCAAAAAUAAAAAAUUUUACUCAAAAUAUUCAUGGGAUAAGUGGUAAAUAAAAAAGGAGCAUUUUUACAAAACAGUCAAAACCGGUCAAGUUUCAUACCAAAUAUGCACAUGGCAGCAGCAUAAACAUAAGCAAGUACUAAGAACAACACAUGGCAGUAAAAUUAAAAAUUUCAGCAAAGAUGGUCACAUUC